AUGGGACUGGAGGACGAGUGAAAGAUGCUGACCGAGUGUAGAGAUACUAAGGAGGAGGAAGAAGAAGAGGAGGAAUUAGUGUUUCUACAUCAGGAUCCCCUAACAACAGUGAGAGAGCAAUGCGAGCAGUUGGAGAAAUGUGUAAAGGCCCAGGAGCGGCUGGACCUCUGUGAUGAGCAUGUAUGCUCUCAAUCACAUACAGAAGAGGAUUGCACGGGGGAGCUCUUUGACUUUUUGCAUGCAAGGGACCAUUGUGUGGCCCACAAACUCUUUAACAACUUGAAAUAAAUAUGUGGACUUACCCCAGCCUUCAUCACCUGGGCAUCAGGAUAUUUCCUUAUGGUUUUGGAUAUGCCAUUUGUUUCUUAUUUGUGUAACUGUAAGUUCACAUGAACCUCAUGGAUUUUGGCUUAGUCUGGUAGCUUCUAUGUAACUCGUCUUAAUAAAGUUAUUUCAUCUUAAUAAAGUUCUGUG